AGCAAACAGGAUUAGAUACCCUGGUAGUCCACGCCCUAAACGAUGUCAACUAGUUGUUGGGGAUUCAUUUCCUUAGUAACGUAGCUAACGCGUGAAGUUGACCGCCUGGGGAGUACGGUCGCAAGAUUAAAACUCAAAGGAAUUGACGGGGACCCGCACAAGCGGUGGAUGAUGUGGAUUAAUUCGAUGCAACGCGAAAAACCUUACCUACCCUUGACAUGGACGGAACCCUGCUGAGAGGUGGGGGUGCUCGAAAGAGAACCGUCGCACAGGUGCUGCAUGGCUGUCGUCAGCUCGUGUCGUGAGAUGUUGGGUUAAGUCCCGCAACGAGCGCAACCCUUGUCCUUAGUUGCUACGCAAGAGCACUCUAAGGAGACUGCCGGUGACAAACCGGAGGAAGGUGGGGAUGACGUCAAGUCCUCAUGGCCCUUAUGGGUAGGGCUUCACACGUCAUACAAUGGUCGGAACAGAGGGUUGCCAAGCCGCGAGGUGGAGCCAAUCCCAGAAAACCGAUCGUAGUCCGGAUUGCACUCUGCAACUCGAGUGCAUGAAGCUGGAAUCGCUAGUAAUCGCGGAUCAGCAUGCCGCGGUGAAUNNNUUCCCGGGUCUUGUACACACCGCCCGUCACACCAUGGGAGUGGGUUUUACCAGAAGUGGCUAGUCUAACCGCAAGGAGGACGGUCACCACGGUAGGAUUCAUGACUGGGGUGAAGUCGUAACAAGGUAACCA
rnacentral:rRNA from 1 species